AUUGAACGCUGGCGGCAGGCCUAACACAUGCAAGUCGAACGGUAACAGGAAGCAGCUUGCUGCUUCGCUGACGAGUGGCGGACGGGUGAGUAAUGUCUGGGAAACUGCCUGAUGGAGGGGGAUAACUACUGGAAACGGUAGCUAAUACCGCAUAACGUCGCAAGACCAAAGAGGGGGACCUUAGGGCCUCUUGCCAUCGGAUGUGCCCAGAUGGGAUUAGCUAGUAGGUGGGGUAACGGCUCACCUAGGCGACGAUCCCUAGCUGGUCUGAGAGGAUGACCAGCCACACUGGAACUGAGACACGGUCCAGACUCCUACGGGAGGCAGCAGUGGGAAUAUUGCACAAUGGGCGCAAGCCUGAUGCAGCCAUGCCGCGUGUAUGAAGAAGGCCUUCGGGUUGUAAAGUACUUUCAGCGGGGAGGAAGGGAGUAAAGUUAAUACCUUUGCUCAUUGACGUUACCCGCAGAAGAAGCACCGGCUAACUCCGUG
rnacentral:rRNA from 1 species